ACCGUCCUGCUCCUCACUCCCUGCAUCAGGCUCCUUCCCACCCUCACCGUCCUGCUCCUCACUCCCUGCAUCAGGCUGCUUCCCACCCUCACGCCUGCUCCUCACUCCCUGCAUCAGGCUCCUUCCCACUCUCACUGUCCUGCUCCUCACUCCCUACAUCAGGCCGCUUCCCACCCUCACUGACUGCUCCUCACUCCCUGCAUCAGG
rnacentral:lncRNA from 1 species